rnacentral:rRNA from 1 species
GCCAGCAGCCGUGUCAUCCUACAAUUCACAGCUGGCAGCCCACUGGGGCUCAGCAGGUGUGAGCCUGGUCAGUACCUGGAUAGGAGAUCUCCUGGGAAAACUAAGGUUGCUGCUGGUA